rnacentral:rRNA from 1 species
UACAGAGGGCGCGAGCGUUAAUCGGAAUUACUGGGCGUAAAGCGCACGUAGGUGGCGACGUAAGUCGGGUGUGAAAGCCCCGGGCUCAACCUGGGAAUUGCAUUCGAGACUGCAUUGCUGGAGUACGGAAGAGGAAGGCGGAAUUCCCGGUGUAGCGGUGAAAUGCGUAGAUAUCGGGAGGAACAUCAGUGGCGAAGGCGGCCUUCUGGUCCAGUACUGACACUGAGGAGCGAAAGCGUGGGGAGCGAACAGG